CCCAAUUGCAUCGAGCUUGGGAGGUUAUGGGGUUCAAGAUCUCCAUUCCCCCAAUUACCCAGCACUUAACAGCCUCAUGACCUAAGUCCUUAAAAACUAACCUAAGGGGGCGCCUGGGUGGCUCAGUGGG